CCUACGGGGGGCUGCAGUGGGGAAUAUUGCACAAUGGGCGCAAGCCUGAUGCAGCCAUGGCGCGUGUGUGAAGAAGGCCUUCGGGUUGUAAAGCACUUUCAGCGGGGAGGAAGGCGGUGAGGUUAAUAACCUCAUCGAUUGACGUUACCCGCAGAAGAAGCACCGGCUAACUCCGUGCCAGCAGCCGCGGUAAUACGGAGGGUGCAAGCGUUAAUCGGAAUUACUGGGCGUAAAGCGCACGCAGGCGGUCUGUCAAGUCGGAUGUGAAAUCCCCGGGCUCAACCUGGGAACUGCAUUCGAAACUGGCAGGCUAGAGUCUUGUAGAGGGGGGUAGAAUUCCAGGUGUAGCGGUGAAAUGCGUAGAGAUCUGGAGGAAUACCGGUGGCGAAGGCGGCCCCCUGGACAAAGACUGACGCUCAGGUGCUAAAGCGUGGGGAGCAAACAGGAUUAGAUACCCCUGUAGUC
rnacentral:rRNA from 1 species